GCUCUCCGGCUGCAUGUAUUUCUAACCUGUUGUCUGUCUCUCAUGUAGGACUUGUGACGGCCCCUGCUUAGUCUACUUCCACCUGAUAUGGAGCGCCUGGGCCCAGUUAGGAUUGCCCAGUUUGGGGGGUAAAGACCAACACAGAAAAAGCGGGAAAAUGGGAACCUCUGAUGCCACUAGAUCAGUUUCUUCUGCCAGUAUCCAUCUCCAUCACUGCCACAUCAGCUGGUCCCAAGGUUGUGAGGUCAUCCAAACAUCUGGCCCCUCCGCCAUGUUUUCUAAGUUAGCACGCAGUGAAAAUGUCAUCAGCCUACAGCAGUGGCUUUCUCAGAUGGACAGAUGCCACCUGAAAAACCUGAUCUUUUCUCACCGGAACCCAACAUAUGGAUGGUCUUCUGCCAGUGAGGCCUGGCUCCGAGUGCUUCAGUGUCAACACUGAAGAGCGAGGGCCAGAGGGGUGAUGUAAGUAUUGAUACACUCCUUGAAAUCACUUUGUCACCGCCAGAGAUACCAAGCUGCAGUAGCGACACGAUGGCAGGAAGAUGAUUGUGAAUUCUUGGCAGAGGUUUGAGUGAUGCCAUUAAAAAGGCAAAUGUGAUUAAUUUUUAGUGAGAACGCCCUCUUCUUGGUGAUUGUCAGCGAGGUCAGGCUAAAGGGAUGUGACACAGAAAUUACUCUUCCUCCUGGCGUCUAAUGUGACUCGUCACUCUGAGGAAAUAUCUGGGAGAAAGGGAGACUGACAAAAAUGCUCUCAUCUAAUAGACUAACUAUUUGUCCGUGGGGUAAUGUGGCGGAGAUCUAGCUCAAUAGCGCUAAGUGAUCUAUUGCUUAAAGACCAGACAUCACUUGUGAUUCAACACAAACAAAAGUGUUUCUAUCUCAAACCGUUGCUGAGGGUUUCAUCACAUUUGUAUGGAUGAGGGACAAAAGCAAUUUAAAACAAUCAGGGAAGCUGUAUUACUAUAGAUAUAGUACAUUUUCCUUGUAUAGGACAUGUUUUGACAUUUUAACAUUCUUUGUGAAUUUCCUGUUAUGUGUCAGUGUUGUCAGGGUUUUCUUUAAACCUGUGUGAACUGAGACAAACCCCCCUGCGGAGUGACAUUUUCCAGGCGACACAAUAACGCAGGUCACACUUUAUCCCGACCCCCUCAUAAACACAGAAGGGCUGCAGCACUCCUUCUCUAUCUGUUGACGUGCUAACAACAAAAGACAGCUCACAGGUCACAAUAAAGGUUAUGUCUUUAUUGA